rnacentral:lncRNA from 1 species
UACAUACAUACAGAUUCCAAAUUUGCACUUAACUGCUAUAUUAUGUAUGUACUUGUUCAUGACACCACUUGGAAUUCAGGUAGAGGUAUUUUCAAUCAGCUCCAACAUCCCUUUCCUUCCUUGGAUGUUUCCAAGACACCAUCAAGCCAGGCACAUUUAGGCAGAGAGGUUGCUGGGGAGAAUAGAACAUUGCCAAGCUCUGGCGCCAAAUACUGCACUCUGGCAACGUGUAAGUGUAAGGCAGGCAUUGUGGGUGUGUGACCUCUGCAAUCACACAGGGCCUCAUGCUCAGGAGGGCCCUGUGCUUGAUUCAAUACUCUGCUGGCCCCAUCUUGAAAUUCUUAAUGAUUUUUGAACAAGGGGCUCCACAUGUCCAUUUAUCAGUGAGCCCCUCAAAUUAUAUAGCCAGUUUUGUGUGAGGACAAAGCAAUGGACAGAUACUAUGAAGCUCCUUUCUGGGUGGCAUUUUCUCUUUCUUUUCUCCUUCCUUUCAGAGCUACCAAGUCACCCCACACUCUAGCUCAAGAGCUCUACCUGACCAAAACUCAAUGGCCUUUCCUCAGGAAAUCCAGCUAUGCUAAUGCCACCAGAACUGAGUCAGAACUCCUAACUCUACAAAUAUGGCUCCUCUGUAUUGAGUGCCUGCUAGGUGCCAGGCACAACACUCAACUGGGACCAAUAUUAUUUCUGAUCUGGGAGAUAGAUAGGUAUGAUCAGCCCCAUUUCACAGUUGAGGACAUUGAGGCUCAGAGAGAUUCAGUGACUUGUCCAAGGUCACACAGUGCAUCAAACACAAAUCUGAUGAGCCUUCUCAAAGGCUCUUGAUGCCACCUGCUUCCAGAACAUUCUGCCACUCACUCUGCCUAGGCUGCUGCCCUGCCUGACUUGAGCUCAGGCAGUUCUGCCACUUGGGUCAGAUCGGCUACAAGUCCUGGAGUAUGGGCCCUUCCUAGCCCCAUGCCUAUAGUUUCUGGCUCCUCUUACCUCUUCCAGAUUUGGAUGAAAACACUCUCCAGCAUGGGGUGGGAACUGGUCUCCUGAGAGGCUGCCAUUAGGACUGGGUGAUACAAUCCUGAAGUGCAGAAGAGUUAACCCCCACUAGGAAAACUUUGACCAGUGGAAAAUAGGAGUUGAGAGGGAGCAGGACACAUACAUUCCUUCUUCCUCUCUCCAUGGACUGCUUCAUGACAGUCUGCCUUGCCGCUCAUCCAGCUGAAUCCCACGUGUCAUGCUGAAAGGUCUUGUGCAGUGACCUUCUGGGUGUCUCCAUGGCUGUUUGUGACAUAAUAGCCAUCAAGGAAACACACCACUUAGUGUGGCUUUGCAUCCUUCUUUGCCUCGCUUCCUUGUGUCUCACCUUUGCUGCCAUGGAUUUGCAUCUUCCAAAUGAAACAUCUCACUUUCAAUUUUUGCCCCAGGCUCUAUCUUCUAGAGAAGCUAGCCUAACAUACAUAUAGGAAGGGCAGCCUUCCCACUCAGCCCAGGGUGUGGUGGAACUUCAUUUAGGCUGCAUGUGAAAAUUGGCCACCUGCUUUGCUGUAAAUGUGAUUUGUGGUUCUCUACUGUCCAACUGCUGUAGGAAUGGCCCCCACCUGAGAGAUGCAAUGGCCAUUCCAGCUUGCUGGCCAGUACAGGCCUUCCUUCUUCUCUCUCUCCCCACUCCAUCUGCAUGACCCGACCCACCCCACCUCAAGGCAUGGUUAAUUGUUCAUUAGUGACACCUGGCCCAAGUUGACCCAAUGAAUCUCUCCCUCUGUUGGGAUUUUUAAACUCAGGACUAAGUGAUUCCAUCUCCGCUUCUUUCUACAUACUCUCUCCAAAACCACAUAUGCAGUGUCUACAGCUCUAAGUAAGAAAUCCUGGGAGUGGUCAGUGGACAUCCUUUCUGUUAUGUGGGUAAUGUCAAUCUGCAGCAUGAGAGAAGAAUUCCACCAAUAUGCAGAGAGAAACAGAGGCAGGAGCUACAGAGAAUGUCCUAAUGGCAGUCUCAGGCUUGGAGUCCUUGACAGAUUGGAAACUCCAGAUUUCUAUGACAGUAGGAUUGAAGCCUUGAAAGAUCUUAAUGUCACCAUCAUGAGCCUAAAAGAGAUCUUUGAAAAAGAUACUACAUGGAUCAUAUGUGUCUUUCACAGAGCAGAAAUUUUUAAUUUCCAGCCAUUAUAUUCCUUGACAUUCACCUCAAAGACUUGAAAAUUAUGUCCAUACAAAAACCUGUACAUGGAUAUUUAUUGCAGCUUUAUCCACAAUUGCCAGAACUUGUAAGCAACCAAGACAUCCUUCAGUAGGUGACUGUAUCCAUUGUGGUACGUUCAGGCUAUGGAAUAUUGUUCAGCACUAAAAGGAAAUGAGCUAUCAAGCCAUGAAAAACAUGGAGGAAACUCAACACAUAUUACUAAGUGAAGGAAGACAAUCUGAAAAAGCUACAAAUUGUAUGAUUCCAGCCACAUGACGCUCUGGAGAAGGCCAAACUAUGGAGACCGUAAAAAGAUCAGUGUUUCCUGGGAGUAGGAAGGCGGGAGAGAUGAAUAAGCAGAGCACAGAGGACUUUUAGGGCAGUGAAACUACUGUGUAUGAUACCAUAAUGGUGGAUACUUAUCAUUACACAUUUGCCCAAACCCAUACAAGGAACAACAGCAAGAGUGAACCUAAUGUAAACUAUGGACUUUGAGUGAUUAUGAUGUGCCAGUGUAGGUUAAUCAAUUAUAACAAAUGUGCUACUUUGGUGACAGAUAUCGAUAAUGGAGGAGGCUGUGUAUGUGUGGGGGGCAAGGGGUAUAUAGGAAAUCUCUGUUAACUUCUGCUCCAUUUUACUGUAAAUCCAAAAUUGCUCUAAAAAGAGGUCUAUUCAAAAAGGCAUUAUAUAACUCAAUUUAAUCAAUUUAAUCAAGACCAUGUUUACACAGUACUUUGUGUCCACACAUCAUGAUCAUAAGACCAAAAUCAUGUUGGAAACUGAAGAAAGAAAAUUACCUGACAGUCUUCCAAUCCAGAGGCGAAGUCCAGGUCCCAUCUCCUGGAAUUCUGAUAGGUUCCAUGCCUACUUCAACUAACACAAUGUGGACACUGCCAGUUUCCAGAGCCAGGACUUAUGAAGCUGGCAGUUUGUAUUCUCCGCUAUUUGAAAUACUGUCUCUGGGAGCAAUGGACUUCAAACUCUGAAGCCACCAUGCUAAUGUGGCUGCAUGUAGGUGUUCUAGCCAAUAGUUACAACUCAUAUGUAAGUUGCUUUGCUGGAGGGAUGGCUUGAAAGCCUGCCUGAAUUUCUGACCCACAAAGUUAUAUCAUAAUAAAAUGAUGUUAUCUUAAAAAAAAAAAAAAAAAAAAAAAAAAAAAAAA